UAAACUAGGGAUAGAUACCCUAUUAUUAAAAUUUAAUUUAAAAUACUAAAAUAGUAAAUAAUAAUUUAUUGAAACUUAAAUAAUUUGGCGGUAUUUUAGUUCAUUUAGAGGAAUCUGUCUAAUAAUUGAUAAUCCACGAUUAAAUUUACUUAAUUUAUGAUUUUAUAUAUCGUUGUUAAAAAAAUAUUUUAAAAUAAUAAUAAUAUUUAAAAAUUAAAAUAAAAAAUUAGUUCAGAUCAAGAUGUAGAAUAUAAUUAAGAAUAUGAUGGAUUACAAUAAAUUUAUUUAAAUGGAAAAUUAAUUUGUAAUAAAAAUAUGAAAGUGGAUUUAAAUGUAAUUUUAUUUAAUAUAAUAAAACGAGAACAGGCCCGGA
rnacentral:rRNA from 1 species